rnacentral:rRNA from 1 species
AUUGAACGCUGGCGGCAUGCCUUACACAUGCAAGUCGAACGGUAACAGGUCUUCGGAUGCUGACGAGUGGCGAACGGGUGAGUAAUACAUCGGAACGUGCCCGAUCGUGGGGGAUAACGGAGCGAAAGCUUUGCUAAUACCGCAUAUUCUGUGAGCAGGAAAGCAGGGGAUCGCAAGACCUUGCGCUGAUUGAGCGGCCGAUGUCAGAUUAGCUAGUUGGUGAGGUAAAGGCUCACCAAGGCGACGAUCUGUAGCGGGUCUGAGAGGAUGAUCCGCCACACUGGAACUGAGACACGGUCCAGACUCCUACGGGAGGCAGCAGUGGGGAAUUUUGGACAAUGGGGGCAACCCUGAUCCAGCCAUGCCGCGUGAGUGAAGAAGGCCUCCGGGUUGUAAAGCUCUUUCGGCCGGGAAGAAAAUCGCAUGGGUUAAUACCCUGUGCGGAUGACGGUACCGGCAUAAGAAGCACCGGCUAACU